rnacentral:tRNA from 1 species
GAGGCUAUAGCUCAGUGGUAAAGUGCAUGCUUAGCAUGCAGAGGUCCUGGGUUCAAUCCCCAGCACCUUUG